AACGAACGCUGGCGGCAUGCCUAACACAUGCAAGUCGAACGGGAUCCUAGCUUGCUAGGUGAGAGUGGCGGACGGGUGAGUAACACGUGGGAAUCUGCCUUUUGGUUCGGGAUAACCGCGGGAAACUGCGGCUAAUACCGAAUGCCCUCGAGAGAGGAAAGAUUUAUCGCCAGAAGAGGAGCCCGCGUCCGAUUAGGUAGUUGGUGGGGUAAAAGCCUACCAAGCCGACGAUCGGUAGCUGGUCUGAGAGGAUGAUCAGCCACACUGGGACUGAGAUACGGCCCAGACUCCUACGGGAGGCAGCAGUGGGGAAUAUUGGACAAUGGGGCAACCCUGAUCCAGCAAUGCCGCGUGAGUGAUGAAGGCCUUAGGGUUGUAAAGCUCUUUUGCCAGGGAAGAUGAUGACUGUACCUGGAGAAUAAGCCCGGCUAACUUCGUGCCAGCAGCCACGGUAAU
rnacentral:rRNA from 1 species